UGGGAGAGGAGAUAUCAUUUGAAAUGUAAAUAAAGACAAUAUAUAAUUUUAAAAAUCCUAUUUAUACCUUCCAAACAUCACAUGUCCUCCACAUGCCUUGCCUCAGCAAGUGCAUCCAGUCAGUCUGAGUCCACAGAUGAGGUAAGAAAUUGUAGUACACCACCAGAUGCUUGUUGGUGCGUUUCUCUCUAUGAAGUUCCCACAAAUGCAGCUCAACUAUGAAAUGUAAGGUGGACCAAUACAUGCGUGUCAUUAGCAAAGAACCUUUCAUCACGUGCUCUUUUACAUGCUUGCUUCUUUGUCUGCUUCAGUGAAAUGUUCCUUCUGCCUUAGCCUUUCAUGCCUGCAUCCACUUUAACAAAACACUCCUUUACAUGUUUGCCCCAGCAAAACCCCAUCCAACAGACUUUCCAAAGAACCCUCAUGUUUUCACUUCAGUUGUCAAAAGAAAAAGACGUAUGAAGAAACCCCUCAGCCACUGUGUACUUCAUCUAAGUCUAGUGCAUGAGAAUCUCCAGAGGUGGAAGUUACCUACAAUCUUAAAAAUGUCAUAUUCUUUAAAGAGUAGUUAGAAUUGGGAACAAUUGCUUUAUAGGGAAGGAACAUCAUUUGAUUUCCAGUUACAUUGGCUCCUCAGUGUCUUGUGUCUUUCCCCAUUCAUAACUUAAACCCUGUAACCCUUUACCUGUAUAUGCCUGGCUGUGCCACCUUCUCCAUACAAACUGGUUUGUUAUUCAGCUAGUGAAUAUCUUGGUUGCAAAGUCUCCCCUGUUGUUCCAGAUUUCAGUGUAUGCCUUCUUCUCUGUGUCUUCCUUCAUGUUAUGAAGUGUGUGUGUGUGUGUGUGUGUGUGUGUGUGUGUUCUUUCUGUAUGGGCAACACCUGCCUACAGAAGGGCUUUGGGAAUGCAUGCUACCACGGCUAAUUUUUCUUUUGCUGAGGAGGUUACAGGAUUCUCUCUGUGGAGACGAUGAAGACAUGGACUAAGCCAGGCUCUUAUUCUCCAUUUCCUGCUUUCCAUCUGGGACAACUUCAGAGUGAAGGUGAAAGGUCAGACUCUCAGCAACGGAUCCCUAGAGGCACAAAUGAGUUUACCAUGAUGCCAAACAUGACUUUGCUUCUCUGGACACAAGUGAAAUGAUUUUAUACAUAAAAGAUCCUAAAAGACUCUACAAGCAAAUAUCUAGAAUUGAUAAACACUUUUUGCAAAAUAGUAGGAUGCAAAAUUAACACAAAAUUUAUGUCUUCAUAUAUAAAAUAACCAACAUUGAGAAAGAAAUCAGGGGAAUAGUACCUUUCACAAUACCCUCAAAAAAUAUCUUGGGACAGCUAACCAAACAAGUAAAAGGCUUGAAUAAUAAAAGCCUUAAGAUAUUGUACAAAACCCCCAAAAAUGUAUAAGAUCUACCAUACUCAUCGAUGAGCAGGACUUGUUUUCUGAAAAAUCCCACAAAAAGCCACCUAUAUAUUCAAUGGGAUCCCUAUUAAAAUGAAGAAACUCUGUAUAAUUGUUAAAGGCCUUUUCUGUUCCCGAACCCCCAGUAUUAGGAAUGGUUAUAUUAUAUAGAGUUGUUGGUCAAA